UACGGGGGGUACGAGCGUUGUCCGGAAUCACUGGGCGUAAAGGGCGCGUAGGUGGUUUGAUAAGGGUGUGGUGAAAGCCCGGGGCUCAACCCCGGGUCUGCCGUGCCGACUGUCAAACUCGAGGGCUGUAGAGGCAGACGGAAUUCCGGGUGUAGCGGUGGAAUGCGUAGAGAUCCGGAGGAAGACCGGUGGCGAAGGCGGUCUGCUGGGCAGUUUCUGACACUGAUGCGCGACAGCGUGGGGAGCAAACAGG
rnacentral:rRNA from 1 species